rnacentral:misc_RNA from 1 species
GAUGAAGAACGUAGUGAACUGCGAUAAGUAAUGUGAAUUGCAGAAUUCAGUGAAUCAUCGAGUCUUUGAACGCACAUUGCGCCCCCUGGCAUUCCGGGGGGCAUGCCUGUCCGAGCGUCAUUGCUGCCCUUCAAGCCCGGCUUGUGUGUUGGGUCGUCGUCCCCCCCGGGGGACGGGCCCGAAAGGCAGCGGCGGCACCGCGUCCGGUCCUCGAGCGUAUGGGGCUUUGUCACCCGCUCGAUUAGGGCCGGCCGGGCGCCAGCCGGCGUCUCCAACCUUCUAUUUUACCAGGUUGACCUCGGAUCAGGUAGGGAUACCCGCUGAACUUAAGUAUAUCAAUAAGCGGAGGA